CUCCUUGCCUUGGCUGCGCUAAUCUGAUCCUCCAUGGCACACUGCUUGGCUCCUGGAGCAGGAGGGACUCCACUCAAGAACUAAAGUCCUACUUGACAGGCAUUUACAGUGAAGCUUUGCAGUUCUGGCUUCUCUCUUAGACCUGCAGUUCCAUUCAGUUUUGGGAAAGAAGCAUCUCACUCAGUAUCAAGGCACCCAGGCAACAAAAAACCACAGAAGACAGGAAUUAUCAAAGUUCUCAGAAGCAAACAGAUUACUGUGAAACUGAGACCCAUCAUGAGGCUGAAAUUCCAUACCUGUGAUAAAUCAUUAUUGCUUUAAAGAGUCUAUUGCUUUACAGUGUAAGAGAAGAAGGAUGCAGAAUUGUAUUAGCGCAGCAAGCCUACACAAAAAUGUUUCACCGCUUUCAGAAAUAAAAGCCUGAGAGAUUAGUGGUGACUCAUGAGGCUCUUGUCCAUCACAACUACAUUAGUGAAAUGGAGUUCACCUGUGCAUCGAGAUACUGGAUAUAAACUGAAGACAUUUGUUGAAAGAAAGAGAAAACGGAAGUUCCAAAGUUUUUCCUAAGGGAGAGUCUGCCUUUACAUAUGAUCAAUGUAUGAGAAGAAGGGAGAAGGAAAAUCUUCAAGAAUUUUAUCAACAAAAUGUAUAACAAUACAGGAGGUGUAUUGUUAUAUCAACACACUUAAGAAAAGUUAUUAUAAAAUAUCUGUUCUUGAUAUAUCUGUGAAAGCUCAUUAUAACUUUCAAAAUCUAGAGAUUCUUGACAAUCAAUGUCAAUAAUAAACAAAAGAUCAAUAAAGACUGAAAAAUAACACUGA